rnacentral:tmRNA from 1 species
GGGGCCGUUUAUGGAUUCGACGGGGAUAGUUCGAGCGUGGGUAGCGGGUAGUAGGGCUGCGUCUGCUUCACUAACGCGGAAACCUAUUAAACGGCAAACAACAACCAACUUUAGCAGCAGCCUAAGAAACUGAUCUGCUAAGCUUCUACUCUCCAUCGCCCAUGUGGCGGGAUAGGGGCUCAACUUUAGUGGGAUACGCUGUCUAGUCUCCGCCUGGGGCUAGCUGAAGAAGAUAAUCAGGCUGACCCGAAGGGAAUCCGGUGACGGGGAGUCUCUAGGGUGACAUCAAAUCUGUCACUACACCCGUAGAAGCCUAUGUGGCGUUGUCUUCGGACAGGGGUUCGACUCCCCUCGGCUCCACCA